UACAGAGGGGGCAAGCGUUGUUCGGAAUUACUGGGCGUAAAGGGCGCGUAGGCGGCCUGCUAAGUCGAACGUGAAAUCCCCGGGCUCAACCCGGGAACUGCGUCCGAUACUGGCAGGCUUGAAUCCGGGAGAGGGAUGUGGAAUUCCAGGUGUAGCGGUGAAAUGCGUAGAUAUCAAGAGGAACACCUGAGGUGAAGACGGGUUGCUGGGCUGACACUGACGCUGAGGCGCGAAAGCCAGGGGAGCAAACGGG
rnacentral:rRNA from 1 species